UGGUGAAUUUUGCACAAUGGUCGCAAGCCUGAUGCAGCGACGCCGCGUGAGGGAUGAAGGCCUUCGGGUUGUAAACCUUUUUCGCUCAUGUUCAAGCCGCAGCUUUGGGCUGUGGCGAGGGUAGUGGGUAAAGAAGCGCCGGCUAACUACGUGCCAGCAGCCGCGGUAAUACGUAGGGCGCGACCGUUGUCCGGAACUAUUGGGCGUAAAGGGCUUGUAGGCGGUUGGCCGCUUCUGCCGUGAAAUCCUCUGGCUUAACUGGGGGCGUGCGGUGGGUACGGGUUGGCUUGAGUGCGGUAGGGGAGACUGGAAUUCCUGGUGUAGCGGUGGAAUGCGCAGAUAUCAGGAGGGACACCGGUGGCGAAGGGGGGUCGCUGGGACGUUACUGACGCUGAGGAGCGAAAGCGUGGGGAGCGAACAGG
rnacentral:rRNA from 1 species